rnacentral:rRNA from 1 species
CACGUAGGGCGCAAGCGUUGUCCGGAAUUAUUGGGCGUAAAGAGCUCGUAGGCGGUCUGUUGCGUCCGCUGUGAAAACCCGGGGCUUAACCCUGGGCUGGCAGUGGAUACGGACAGACUAGAGGUAGGUAGGGGAGAAUGGAAUUCCCGGUGUAGCGGUGAAAUGCGCAGAUAUCGGGAGGAACGCCGGUGGCGAAGGCGGUUCUCUGGGCCUUACCUGACGCUGAGGAGCGAAAGCGUGGGGAGCGAACAGG